CAGCAGCCGCGGUAAAACGCAGGGUGCAAGCGUUAAUCGGAAUUACUGGGCGUAAAGCGUGCGCAGGCGGUUAGAUAAGCCAGAUGUGAAAUCCCCGAGCUCAACUUGGGAACUGCGUUUGGAACUGUUUAACUAGAGUGCGUCAGAGGGGGGUGGAAUUCCGCGUGUAGCAGUGAAAUGCGUAGAGAUGCGGAGGAACACCGAUGGCGAAGGCAGGUUACUGGGCAGUUACUGACGCUGAGGAGCGAAAGCAUGGGUAGCGAACAGGAUUAGAUAUCCGCGUAGUCCCUGUCUCUUAUAC
rnacentral:rRNA from 1 species